GGUGACACUCUUCCUCAAUCCAGUCUUCUCUCAUGCGGGCCAACUGGGACUUCAGCUCCACAAUCUCACUUUCCCUAGAGUGGGAAGACAAGCAUGGUUAAGACGGCGUCAACUCUGGAACCAGGCAUCGAGCAAUUUGCACACACAGCCCGGAGCCCACGCUCUUCCAUUUGAAACACAGAAGUUUGGAUUCAUAUUUUAUGGAAAAAGAAGCUGUCCUGAAUCACAGGAAGGUGGAUUCACCUGUCAUGAAGCCGGCGCUCAGACUCCUUCAGCUUGGUCUUCAGGUGCCUCACCGUAACCUCCUUCUGCUGCAGAGGAGUCAAAUACUGCUCUGGAUUUGGGGGCUUGACACCAUGAUUUUCUCCACAUGACAUGUACCUUCCAGACCGCCUGAAACAAUCCAAGUCAGGAGAUGUUACUUUCUGUCAUCUCCUUUCCUCUGCAAAGGAAAGUAAUGGAGAAUGCCCUGGACUAUAUGUUUAUGUCUGCCCCCAAACGCAUAUGUUGGAAUUCUAACCCCAAUGUGACGGUAUCAGCAGAUGGGGCCUUGGGGAAGUGAUGAGAUCGUAAGGGAGGAGCACACAUGAUGGAAUCAGUGCCCUGCAGACAGAGGCCUCUAGCGGGUGAGGAUACGACUCGAAGCUGGCCAUGUACAACCCAGAAGAGGGCUCUCCCCCGAAUCUGACCAUGCUGGCCCCCUGAACUCAGAUUUUCAGCCCACAGAACAGUGAGAAAUACAUUUCUGCCAUGUAUGCAUUGCACCCAGUAUGCAUACUUACUUAGAACCACCCAAACUGACCAGGAUACACAGCUGAGAGCCAGAGAAGGAAUGGCAGCUGUAUGUUGGGUCUUAGACCUCAGUAAUGGAUGAUGUUGCUUCAUAAGAUGGACUGUAGUUAGUAUACCUGCCAAUUUUAGGAUUGCUAAUUACUUGGAAGAUUGAGGGGUAGGAAAGUGUGUGUGUGUAUGUGUGUGUGUGUGUGUGUGUGUGUGUGUGUGUGUAAACAGAGGAGAGAAGAUUUUCAGUGGCUGAGAAAUGAUCUCUUACAAAAUGAUUCAGUAUCCUCUCUAGGCCAGAACUGUCAGUUGGGAGUAGCAGCAUGCCAUGGAGGAGGAGGCAGGAGGGAAGGAACCUAUGGAGGAGAUCUAACUUUCUACACAGCGUACCCCUGCCUGAAGAUCCUGAUGAUUCCUUGAACUCGUGUUGUUCUGGAAUCAGGUCCCUGGAGGGAGUGUGUUGAUCUGAGGGAAAUGGAGAAUUCACUCUUCUGAAAGGAUCAAGGCCUCUCCGCUCCCACCAGUGCAUUUUGUAAGAGGUGCUCAGUGUUCUACAAAACAGCCCCCACUGGAAUCUUGGCCCUGCACAGGCCUGGCCUAGAACCGGGCAUCCCUGCUGUAAGAGAGCUGACUAAUGAGAGCAGGGACGCCCGGGGGGAAGAAGCCUGAAGGGGGAGGGCUGCCAGCUUCCUCCCUGACUCUGGACCUCACCCAAGCCACAGUGCUGCCCUGCUCCCCCCAAUGCCUGCACGCCAUCCAAGAUGGCCUGAGUCCAGUUUUCAACCCACUGGCCCUCCUCUCCCGGCCCCUUUGGAUGUACAGUUCCCUCUUCUGCUCUGCACUCCUGCACCUCGCAGGAAUUAACUCUUGGCUUGCCCUGCAGAUCCCGUUUCAGUUUCACUUCUCAGGGAGAUCUCCCCUGUCCCCUGGAGACUCCUCAUCCCUCACAGAUAAACAAGCGCUAGCAGAAUAAUCGCAAAUCUGCUUCCGUCAUUGGACAGUUAACACCUUUCUCCUCUGGGCAGCCAGCACAGGAGCAGUCCCUGUUGUUGACUGCUCUAUUCCCGAGGCUGGGAUUCAAAAACCAUUUAGCACUGGAAUAAAUGAAUGAACAAUUGUGUGAUUCUUCCUUGUGCGGAGGGAAAAGAGUAAAUCCCACCCCCCGGGCACCGUGCUAUUUUCCCUCCCUAUCCAAUAACUGCUUGAACUGCUGCGCCUGGCUAGAACGUGUGGUUGGGCUCUUUCUGCAGCAGCCCUGGAAGGAUUGGCUGAGUGUGGGAAAGGAAAGAGAAGCAUCUUAUUGCAGGAUAAGGCAGGGGACCAAGAGUUGCAUAACUUCUUAUAAUUUGUUUUUGUUUUUU